rnacentral:sRNA from 2 species
AUGCUUUGCGAGCCGAACACAUGUUGUGGCGGGGGACGCUUUCUUGAUUCUGCUAAAGCAAAUGAAACAGCUUUUCAUAGAAUCUUGGGGUGAAUCAAUGGCGCUAAUCUAAUGCAAGCCAAGCGCCUAGACGGGAACUCCUUACCCGAAUCCGACAACUAACCCCGAAGGCGUAAAUCAAGGAGGUA